GGGUGGACUAACAGACAUGUAAUUGUAACCAGACUAAAUUUGACAGAUGGAAUUAGAAAAUGUGCCAUCAUACAUCCCUGUAACCAGUAUGAUCUCCACAGUAUAAAGGAAUCUGUACAUGCCUAAAGGAAGCAGACUCUGUUUCUCAUCAACCCCAUUGCCAGCAGAGAGAAUUUUCGUGUUAUGAAUGUUAUUUUCACUAUUCAUCUCACCCUGUGGUAAGGGACAUCAUUAUUUACUCAUUGUAGUCUGGAAGCCCUGUCAGCCUCAGAUAAAACUUUUCCAUGAGAAAAUAUCCCAGUGGGCCAGUCCAAGACUUUAGAGCAUUGAGAGCACAUGCCACCAGGCCAUUUAAUAACCCAUAUAGUUCUUUGCCAGCCCUCCUGUGACUGCAACUGUAUUACUAAACUAACACAUUAUCCUUCCUUCCUUCCUUAUCCUUUUAUUUAACAACAGGAUCUAAAGCUAUAGAGAC